rnacentral:rRNA from 1 species
CAGCACCUCAAGUGGUCAGGAUGAUUAUUGGGCCUAAAGCAUCCGUAGCCGGCGCUGUAAGUUUUCGGUUAAAUCUGUACGCUCAACGUACAGGCUGCCGGGAAUACUGCAGCGCUAGGGAGUGGGAGAGGUAGACGGUACUCGGUAGGAAGGGGUAAAUCCUUUGAUCUAUUGAUGACCACCUGUGGCGAAGGCGGUCUACCAGAACACGUCCGACGGUGAGGGAUGAAAGCUGGGGGAGCAAACCGGAUUAGAGACCCGAGUAGUCC